CAAGUCUGGUGCCAGCAGCCGCGGUAAUUCCAGCUCCAAUAGCGUAUAUUAAAGUUGUUGCAGUUAAAAAGCUCGUAGUUGAAUUUCGGGAUCAAUAUUUCGGUCAUGCCGUUGGUAUGCACUGUUAUCAUUGAUUUCUCACCUUCUAAAGAACCGUGAUGCCAUUAAUUUGGUGUUACGGGGAAUUAGGACUGUUACCUUGAAAAAAUUAGAGUGUUUAAAGCAGGCUCACGCUUGAAUACAUUAGCAUGGAAUAAUGAAAUAGGACAUCCGAUUCUAUUUUGUUGGUUUCUAGGAUCGAUGUAAUGAUUAAUAGGGAUAGUUGGGGGCAUUAGUAUUCAAUUGUCAGAGGUGAAAUUCUUGGAUUUAUUGAAGACUAACUACUGCGAAAGCAUUUGCCAAGGAUGUUUUCAUUAAUCAAGAACGAAAGUUAGGGGAUCGAAGACGAUCAGAUACCGUCGUAGUC
rnacentral:rRNA from 1 species